CUGGCUAUGUCUCGUGAAAA
rnacentral:snRNA from 1 species